rnacentral:rRNA from 1 species
CCUACGGGAGGCAGCAGUAGGGAAUUUUCGUCAAUGGGCGCAAGCCUGAACGAGCGAUGCCGCGUGAGUGAAGAAGGCCUUCGGGUCGUAAAUCUCUGUUUCGGGGGAAAAAAGGCAGCAUCAGGAAAUGGGUGCUGACUGAUGGUGCCCCGCCAGAAAGUCACGGCUAACUACGUGCCAGCAGCCGCGGUAAUACGUAGGUGGCGAGCGUUAACCGGAAUGAUUGGGCGUAAAGGGUGCGCCGGCGGUCCGGGAAGUCUGGAGUGAAACGAAUGAGCUCCACUCAUGCAGUGCUUUGGAAACUGGAGGACUGGAGAGCAGGAGAGGGCGGUGGAACUCCAUGGGUAGCGGUAAAAUGCGGAGAUAUAUGGAAGAACACCAGUGGCGAAGGCGGCCGCCUGGCCUGUUGCUGACGCUGAGGCACGAAAGCGUGGGGAGCAAAUAGGAUUAGAUACCCUGGUAGUC